CCUGUGUUUAUUUUCUUUGCUUUUUGUCUGUAUCCACCCUAUAGCAUUUUUCUCACAUUCAGCCAACCACACGAGGAGGAUGGCACCAGCAUUGGAAUGAAUGUUUAACAGUGACAAAUGCUGCUUUAUCUCUUGGCGGGAAAAUUCUUCUCGCAAAAUCAAGGGUGACCUGCCUCUUAAAUUCCCCAGAAAAGACUUUGCCCACACGUUAACCAAAGGGCAAUGACAGCCAAUGCCCUCUGGUCUCAUGUCCAUAACCAUAACCAGACAGGACCUAAUGGAGCUCAACCGUAUCAGGAGGCUAGAGGGAUGCUGAGGACGGACCAUAUCACAGGACCGGGACAGACCAUAGGAGAGACUCUUUCCAAACAGGGAAGGUCGAUGAAAGACCCCCAUGGGCCACGGAAUGGAUUAUGUCUCCUCCGCACUCAGCGCACUGAUAACCACAUCAGCUUCAAGGACCCCCUCAGGGCCAUUACAGGAGGCCCAUCUCCACACAAGCACUGACCCAUCUGUCCCACAUGGCUAACUGGGCUCCUGUGUAUUCAUCACGGCGGAGGAACACCGAGGGGGAAGGAGGGGUGAGGAGGGUCGGCAACAUCUGGGAACUAUCAAGCCAAAAGAGCCUUAGAUCCUGAGAUUCCAGUCUCCGACCUCUCUACUCUCCUCACCUCCCCCAACGCCUCUACUCAAACCCUCCGCCGCCACCUUUCUUCCCCAUCUGUCUCCCUUCUUCUAUUCUACUUCUCCCCCAACCAAGUCCUGUCCUCCCUUCGUCCCGGCCGCCCAUCAUUUCCAUGUGUCUUCGGCAAUAGGCCUAAUCCAAACAGAUUGUAACUGUUUCAAAAACAUACUCCCCUUCUUAGCCCCCACCUCUCCCCAUCUCAGUCCUGGGUUCAUUGCGGGGAACAGAUCAUCUCUUUCAUAGCGGAGGAGGUACUGGUGUCAGCCAGGUCCUGGGUUAACAGGUUAGUGCCACACAGAACCAUUUCAGGAAUAAUGAGCAGGUCAGGCCCCAAAGUAAUCUGGCAGAUGCCUGUUCAAGACUCAGAGACGUGACACAAAACACACCAUCCAACCUUUUCCUCCUGUUACAUUCCCAUGAGGUCCGCAUUGGAAUGGCCGCAGCUGGUCACAUACUGUGCGGUGCAAAGCCCAUUGUUCCAGCCAUAUUGUCCAGCUAUCUGGCUAGUGCUGUGUUUGGGAGAGUUUUGGGGGGAAGCAGCCCAAUAGGGGGCUCGGGAACUGGAAGGUAUCCCAGGAGACCACCAGGACUCCUACUGGGAGGCCUACUUGCAUCAGAGCACCACCCCCCCAUCACUACCUGCUGAACUCCUACAUUCUGUGUUUUGUUUAGAUGGAAGUGUUGUCCUUAUUUAGCAUAAUUGAAUUAAAAGGAUUAGCAUGGUUCUGAUGUUUCUUGCAUAUGCUUUCUCCAUGAUUCAUCUCAUUUUUCUGCGUCAGAAAUGAGAACAGAAAUGAGAAAUGAAAAAAAUUCUGACUUAAUGAGAGUACUGAGUUGCAAAUUGAUGGAAAUAAACAAGCUCACAUACUUAUAGUAUAAAAAUUAGUUUUAUAUUUAGCCUAUUUACCUUUAUCUUUGUUGAUUUGAUCUUAUCGGUGGUGCCAUUGUCUCAUUUGGAUUACGAGGGUCAGAGAGUGGUGGGUUACAGAUCAGAGGCUGGAUUAAUUGUUGACACUCUUGCAGUCCAAACAGAACCCUCACCAACAUCCACAACACACACACGCACACACAAACACAAACGCACCCCCCCCCCCCCAACUAAAUUGAAGUCUUGACAGACACUUUGAUUUAUGUCCAGCCACCAACAAAAAAAAGAGACCAAAAUCAAUUGGCUAUUACCACACUUAGCACUGGGCUGUCACCACCUGGGAGUAGGGUGUUGAAAAUAAAAGACAGAGUCCAUACAACACUUCCAUACCACUCCAUAUACCCAUUCCCACUGGGGAAAAACAGAUCAGUGCUCAAUCUCCAUAUACACAGCUAGUCUCUGAACUGAGUGGCUGUAACACUUGUAGUCAGGGUUGGUGGCAGUGGCCCAGAGGUCAGAGGAGCUGGCUUGUGAGUGGGGUGUCGAUGGGUAGAAUUGCCAGAGUAGUGGGUGGAGAAAGAAGCAGUCGCUGGUACUACGGUAAUCAACAAGGCUCUGAAUUUCACCCUCAAUGGCUCAUAGAGCACAGAGGUAAUGGUUCAUCCCCAUCCAAGUAUAAGGCAUAAUGCUGCUGUUUCAAACAAAUGUUAAAGCUCCCUAUUACAGUGAUCAAAAACUUUGGUGUGACAAGGACCUUUUCUGGGUCAUCUUCAUGUGUCUCAUGUCGCUUGAAUUUACUGGUGGGUAUUACUGUCGGGCAGAACGAACAGUGGGGUCAGUGGAUUUGCACAGCAAGUCCGGUAGUCCAAAAGCACGUGUUUAUUGAAUACUCUAAAUUGGCCAUAGGUGUGAAUGUGAGUGCGAAUGAGCUCCCAAGCGAUGCAACAACCAUUGGCCUGCCAAGACUCCUCUAUGAAAACCAGAUUUGGGUAAGGUCUAAACGCUACUGUGGCAAACUUAAGUGAACGGUACUGCUUGGGAGCCCAAAUAGUAUUACAUGAAGGGAUUGUGGAUGUAUUGCUUUUGAAAAUAAAUAAAUAAAAUCUAAUAUUACAGUACCAUUUUCCAUCUCCAUAUAGGGCUGUGCCAA